rnacentral:rRNA from 1 species
UCUUUAGAUCACCGAAGUGAAGCAUCAUUGGGCGCGGUCAGUACUUGGGUGGGUGACCACCUGGGAACACCGCGUGCCGUU